AAACAAGAGUGUCCGCGCCCGUUGGUUGCUGUGGAUGUCAAUGGAUUUAUGGCCAAGCGAAUUACAUUUACAAAUACAGCAGGCCCGGAAAACUACCAGGCUGUGGCGCUUAGUUGCACUUCUGGGGAGGAUGGAAUUCACCUCUAACCAUUGUUACAGGAACGCAGUGCUUUCCGCCAUGAGGGAGAUGCCGGUGGUGGCCGGGCGGGAGUGGGCUGUUCCGGUGAUGCGAAGCUUCGGCGGCAAGCGGGGCAGAGGAAGAUGUGAUAACACAAUUUGUCUUUUUUAUUUUUUUUAUUUUUUUUAUUUACAUAAUUUGUAUUUUCAGUUACUCCGUAUUAUUCUAAUAUUUUAAGGAUGAAUUUAUCUC